UGUUAUUAGUUUGCUCUAGUUCUAUAUUUGAUAUAGUUAUGAUUCAUAAUAAGCUUAUGUAUAAGUUUGCAAAGCGCUUAGCUCUUGACUCGAGGGAGCUAGGUGGUAGAUCAUAUAUGGGCGUGGUGCUUAGAUAUUAUUUACUUGUAAAUGUAUCAUAUUGGCCGGGUCGUGUGGUAGUUCACGAUGGUGACAGCUUCGUUGAUUCUUAUAUAGUCCACCCUCCG
rnacentral:lncRNA from 1 species